CUCUUAACCCGCGCGCGGGGGCGCCCAGGCCACUGGGCUCCGCGGAGCAAGCGAGAGGUCUGCGCGGAGUCUGAGCGGCGCGUGUCCCGUCCCAAGGCCGACGCCAGCACGCCGUCAUGGCCCCCGCAGCGGCGUCGGGGGGCAGCACCCUGCCCAGUGGCUUCUCGGUCUUCACCACCUUGCCCGACUUGCUCUUCAUCUUUGAGUUUGUGAUGACAAUGUUCCAAGAUUGACUGUGGUGAUGGACGCACGUAUCUGCGAAUAUUCUGAAAACCAGGGAAUCAUACCCUUUCAAUGGGGGAAUUGCAUGGGCUGUGAAUUAUAGCUCAUAAAGCUGUUUAAGAAAAGAAAAAGAUAAUGUCUCCCCACCAUCUCACUAUGAAACACACUGCUAUAAAUAUACCAUGCAAAGGAAAAAAGUCGGCCUCAUUUUUUAAAGGACUCACUUGCAAGGUGAUGCCCCCAGAGGCUGGGUGGGGUCCUGAGAUCUGUCAGGGUACAGGAGCUGGGGUUAAACCCAUAGUGGGCUUUGUUCUAUGGACAACUGUGGACAA
rnacentral:sRNA from 1 species